rnacentral:rRNA from 1 species
ACUGCCGGUCUUUAAGCCGGAGGAAGUGGGGAUGAUGUCAAGUCAGCAUGGCCUUUAUAUCCUGGGCUACACACACGCUACAAUGGCCAACACAAUAGGUUGCUAAGCCGCGAGGUGGCGCCAAUCCAUAAAGUUGGUCUCAGUUCAGAUUGUAGGCUGCAACCCGCCUGCAUGAAGAUGGAGUUGCUAGUAACCGCAGGUCAGCAAUACUGCGGUGAAUACGUUCCCGGGUCUU